rnacentral:rRNA from 1 species
CACGUAGGGGGCGAGCGUUGUCCGGAUUUAUUGGGCGUAAAGAGCUCGUAGGCGGCUCAGUAAGUCAGGUGUGAAAACUCCAGGCUCAACCUGGAGACGCCACCUGAUACUGCUGUGGCUAGAGUCCGGUAGGGGAGCAUGGAAUUCCUGGUGUAGCGGUGAAAUGCGCAGAUAUCAGGAGGAACACCAGUGGCGAAGGCGGUGCUCUGGGCCGAUACUGACGCUGAGGAGCGAAAGCGUGGGGAGCAAACAGG